UCUCCCUUCUGGCUCUGCUUUGCCCUUGUGAGUACAUGCAAGCAGCCUGCCUUGCAAGCAUGGACAUGGUGAGGGAAGAGAGAAAAGCCUCAAAUACAUGCCACCGUGCCAUCAUGGACAAUGCCAGCGCAGUGCCUGACAUCUCGUGAGUGAGCAAACGGGCACACCCAGCACAAGGGCACAGGGCAUAGCAGCACCUGGCCAGUCCAAGAAGAGGAGCAACAAUAGUGCCUCAGUCAGUCUGCCUGCCUGCCUGGGUCCUUGCUGCCUGCCUGAGAGAGGGGCAGCUGGUGAGAGAAGUGGAGGAGAAGGACAAGGAGGAGAGAAAGGACAGAGGACCCUCACAUUACUCACCAGCAAAGAGGCGUCUGACAAAUGGUGGAGCCUGGGUGAAGUGGGUGGGGUGGGCGAGAUUGGACUAGAACCUGAAUAGGAGUCCUUGGCUGAGCCAUGUCUGCUGAGUGGAGACUACAGCAGAUCUGAACAGUUAUAAACAGCAGGUGUCAUCUGAAGUGAAAACAGAGAACACACCGUGUUGUUUACCAAGUGGAUUUCAUCUUAUUGUUCCAAUGAAAAAAAUGUCCUGUGAUCCUCUUAGCCUUUGGAAUACAAUCAAGUGUAAUACAAUCUGUAUUGAGCAGGUAGCAGAGCACUUGGUGUGCAUCUUUACUCUAUAGAAGAAUAGUUCUUUGAUACUGCUUGCUACCAUCACAUGAUUAAAAAGAACAAUUGGACCUGUGUUGCAAUCAGAGCUAUACUGAAUAUUCUGUUACUUCGGCUUCUGUUUUAUUUCUAGCCUUAUGCUUACCUGGCAUAGGGAGCCAACUUUAGAUAAUAUACUAUAGUCCUAUAUUUUAUUUUGUCAGUUAAGGGCCAAAUACAUAUUUUAAUGGUUAUUCAUCAAAAUGUUAAAAAUUGAAUUAAAAUGUCCCUCGAA